rnacentral:rRNA from 1 species
UACCAGCUCUCCGAGUGGUAGGGAUGAUUAUUGGGCUUAAAGCGUCCGUAGCCGGCUUAGCAAGUUUCCUGUUAAACCCAGCGACUCAAUCGUUGGAUCGCGGGAAAUACUACUAGGCUAGGAGGCGGGAGAGGUCAACGGUACUUCUGGGGUAGGGGUGAAAUCCUAUAAUCCCGGGAGGACCACCAGUGGCGAAGGCUGUUGACUAGAACGCGCUCGACGGUGAGGGACGAAAGCUGGGGUAGCAAACCGGAUUAGAUACCCGGGUAGUCCCAGCUGUAAACGAUGCGAGCUAGGUGUUGGGAUGGCUACGGGCCAUUUCAGUGCCGCAGGGAAGCCAUUAAGCUCGCCGCCUGGGGAGUACGGCCGCAAGGCUGAAACUUAAAGGAAUUGGAGGGGGAGCACCACAAGGCGUGAAGCUUGCGGUUC